rnacentral:rRNA from 1 species
AACGAACGCUGGCGGCGCGCCUAAUACAUGCAAGUCGAGCGAGAAGACGUAGCAAUACGUUUGUAAAGCGGCGAACGGGUGAGGAAUACAUGGGUAACCUACCCUCGAGUGGGGAAUAACUAGCCGAAAGGUUAGCUAAUACCGCGUACGCUCCUUGGACUUCGGUUCAGGGAGGAAAGCGAUACCGUGGGUAUCGCGCUCUUGGAUGGGCUCAUGUCCUAUCAGCUUGUUGGNGAGGUAACGGCUCACCAAGGCUUCGACGGGUAGCUGGUCUGAGAGGACGAUCAGCCACACUGGCACUGCGACACGGGCCAGACUCCUACGGGAGGCAGCAGUAAGGAAUAUUGCGCAAUGGGCGAAAGCCUGACGCAGCGACGCCGCGUGGGGGAUGAAGGUCUUCGGAUUGUAAACCCCUUUCGGGAGGGAAGAUGGAACGAGCAAUCGUUCGGACGGUACCUCCAGAAGCAGCCACGGCUAACUUCGUGCCAGCAGCAGCCG